rnacentral:rRNA from 1 species
AGUGAACGCUGGCGGUAGGCCUAACACAUGCAAGUCGAACGGCAGCACAGGAGAGCUUGCUCUCUGGGUGGCGAGUGGCGGACGGGUGAGGAAUACAUCGGAAUCUGCCCAGUCGUGGGGGAUAACGUAGGGAAACUUACGCUAAUACCGCAUACGACCUUCGGGUGAAAGAGGGGGAUCGCAAGACCUCUCGCGAUUGGAUGAGCCGAUGUCGGAUUAGCUAGUUGGCGGGGUAAUGGCCCACCAAGGCGACGAUCCGUAGCUGGUCUGAGAGGAUGAUCAGCCACACUGGAACUGAGACACGGUCCAGACUCCUACGGGAGGCAGCAGUGGGGAAUAUUGGACAAUGGGCGCAAGCCUGAUCCAGCCAUACCGCGUGGGUGAAGAAGGCCUUCGGGUUGUAAAGCCCUUUUGUUCGGAAAGAAAUCUUUCAGGCUAAUACCCUGGGAGGAUGACGGUACCCAAAGAAUAAGCACCGGCUAACUUCGUA